UGGGGAAUCUUGCACAAUGGGGGAAACCCUGAUGCAGCGACGCCGCGUGAGCGAUGAAGGUUUUCGAAUCGUAAAGCUCUGUCCUAUGGGAAGAUAAUGACGGUACCAUAGGAGGAAGCCCCGGCUAACUACGUGCCAGCAGCCGCGGUAAUACGUAGGGGGCGAGCGUUGCUCGGAAUUACUGGGCGUAAAGGGUUCGCAGGCGGCAUGACAAGUCCGAUGUAAAAGGCGAAAGCUCAACUUUCGUAAGCAUCGGAAACUGUCAAGCUUGAGUGAAGGACAGGCAAGUGGAAUUCCUAGUGUAGCGGUGGAAUGCGUAGAUAUUAGGAGGAAUACCGGUGGCGAAGGCGACUUGCUGGACUUCAACUGACGCUGAGGAACGAAAGCGUGGGUAGCAAACAGG
rnacentral:rRNA from 1 species